rnacentral:rRNA from 1 species
UACGUAGGGGGCAAGCGUUGUCCGGAAUCAUUGGGCGUAAAGAGCGUGUAGGCGGCCUGAUAAGUCGGUUGUGAAAGUCAAGGGCUCAACCCUUGAAUGCCGACCGAUACUGUCAGGCUAGAGUCCGGAAGAGGCGAGUGGAAUUCCUGGUGUAGCGGUGAAAUGCGCAGAUAUCAGGAGGAACACCAAUGGCGAAGGCAGCUCGCUGGGACGGUACUGAUGCUGAGACGCGAAAGCGUGGGGAGCGAACAGG